rnacentral:lncRNA from 1 species
AAUGUUUUCUUCUCUCUCCACUCUCCUACCUUUCUAUACACCGACCUCUGCCCCAUUUCCACAAGCCACAACUGCUCUUUGCUUCCUUGUCUUGAUUUCCUUUCAACUUUCUACUUCUCAUUCUAUCUAAAGUUGACAAAUGAGUUCAUGGUGCUCUGAAUUUUAACACAGCCUUGUCCUUUGAUCACCUUGGCUAAGCCUCAAACUCUCAGGCUGACAUGCUACCACCAUCUCCCUUCUGCAGUGAAGGCCUCUGUACUUGGUUAGUGAAGCCCAGUGGUGGAGGCAGCAGGCCCAGCACCCUGCGAGGAGCCCAGGUCCUGUCUGCCCACUGCCUGUUCUGACGUCUUUCCUUGCAGCCAGCCUCGUGAUGGAAGGCCUCAGUGGCAGGGAUCUUAUUCUCCAGUCUCACCCCUAUGGAUCCCUGCCUGAAAAUCUGAUUUUUCUUUCACCCUUCUCCACCUCACCUUCCCUCUAUGUCUUCCUUUCUUCCCUUUAUUUCUUGACAAGAGAAAAAAAUGCAUAAAAUAUGUCUUUGUUCCUAUUGUUUCCUAAAGCUGCGCAUUUGUGGUCUCACAACAAUGUUGUGUGUGGGGGGAACUGUUCUCCGCAUUAUAAGAUGUUUAGCACCAGCCCUGGUUUCUUCCACUAGAUGCCAGUAGCCACCUCCUUGUGUACCUCCCCAACUGGGGCAGCCAUCAGGGUCUCCACAUUGCCACAUGCCCCCAUGGUGUGAAACCACUUUCUUAAAGCGGCACGUGAGCUGUGAGUGGUUCCAUUCUUCAGCAGGAAUUAGACAACAGAUUCCUGAGGAUUCUUUGUGGAGCAAUUCCAGGAGGAAGUAAGUCAGCAAGGGAGCUUGGGAAAGGCCGUGGCUGGAGAGUCAUGCAUCUGGCCCCUCUUGCCAUGACUGCCGAACGGGCACACCUGGAUGUGAUGUUUGCUGCACAGCCUCGGGCUCUUCCUCUAGUUAGAGCUGGAGAAGUCAGGAACUUGGAAACUCCAAUAGGAACAGGCAACAAGAGUACCAACAAAAGCCUCUCCUUCUAA